GCUCCCAUAGCUCAGUGGUCAGAGCGCAGGUCUUCGGAACCUGGCGUCGGGGGUUCGAGUCCCUCUGGGAGCA
rnacentral:tRNA from 1 species